CCUUUCUGUGGAAUACCAUAUUAAUUAUCGGAUUUUCUAGCAGCGCCUGAAAGCGUAACUUUGUAAAAUACCAGUAUUGUCAAUCCAGAUUUGUAAACGUCUCAUAACAUUACUAGUAUGGAAUUACUUUGGAAUAUCGUGUUUUGUGCUCUUUCAGUUGUGUACGCUUUGGGCAUGAAAUCAAAUCUGACAGAGCUGCUUGUAACCGAUACGGACGAUAUAGAGGAGGUCCUCAACAAGGAUACAAAAUGUCAUCUAAGACAGACAAUGGCUUGGGCCGAAUGUGGUCGGCGUGUCAACUGCCCGUCAUCAUGCCAAGGACUAGAAGAUUGCACUUUCCCUUACUGUACAUCAAAGGGAACAUGCGCAUGUAUGAAUGCGUUUUGCCGUAACGACAAGAUGUGUUACUUCUUCAGAAUCGCCUGUGCUACCAACUUUACUUGUAGAGAAGGGAAAUGUUAUUGCGAAAAUGUGAAAAGUAAAUCAUAUACAUGAAAAGAUUUAGUUGCAAAUGAGUCGAUUAUAUAUGUGAAUAUCAAAAUAAUCAAUGCAAAAAUUGUGAAACCUCAUGUUCCCAGUUCUUUGGAAUUGAAUUUGUACAAACAAAGAGAACAGAGCAUGUGCUAUUAGCCAAUGGAAUUAUUUUCAUAGUUUUUUUUUUUGUGUGAAGAGAGUAUUAACUAAAUAUUAAUACAGCUGGGAAAAAAAUUAUCUCAGCUAACUGUUAACUAAAGCUCCAACGUUCUACUUAAAUGGUUCCUCGUAAUUACUUUGCAACCGUAGUGGAAUUAGAGAAUCUAUUAAAUUAAGUUUUGUUAAAGAAUACCCAAGAGAAAACCUGCAGUAAUUUUGUUUUGUUUUAAUUCCAUGCCUUCAAGCACAACAGUUAUGUGUAGCACGGUGAUGUAUCAGACACGACAGACUCAAGACAUUUGUUAUAAAAUUCUAAGUGACACAGUUAACACUGAAAUUGUUUCUAUUUUGAUUGUUCUGUAGAAAUUUAUCAUGCUUUCUGCACAAUUAAGGUAAAGCUAAAAAACCAGAUUAACCAAUGGUAUCGGUAAUAAGACACAAAGAAACAUUUCACUCAAUGCGAUUUAUCAUUUGAAAAUGUCCAUAUUUAUGUAAUCUGUGGCAGUCUACGGAUGUAUAAUUUCCACCAUGAAAAGUACAGAACAAUAUUUUAGAAGCAUAUAGUGAAAGAAUUAUGAACAGAGCAGAACAAUUAUGUGUGGGCGGUCGGUAAGAUCAAUCAUAUUGAGAGUCCAUACCGGUGUUUAGGUUAUACAAAAAUAUUACCUGUCAUGGACAGAGCUCGUUUUUGUUUGGUUGCUGUCAAUGCUACAAAUGACCUUUAUACUCUAUUAUUUUUUUCGGGCUGAUGGCAAAGAAAACGCUCUAGAUAAAGCUUUAGCUCCCAUUCAAUACAUUAUUUACAAAAAAAAAGCAACUCAUUUAUAUCCUACUUAGAGAUAAAACUCCUAAAUUUUUAUAGUUUAAGCAUCACCGAUUCCAAAGCACAUUUGUAAUGUUCGCCUUAUUACUAACGACGUCUGCAUGUUCGUUUUAUAUUAGCAUGGUUUCUUUCCUUCAUCACAUUCUUCCAUGGAGCGCCUGAAAGAUUAGCUACCAUAAAUGCACUGCUUCUGACAUUCCAUUGGCGUAAUAGUCCCUUGAAUACUUUUUAUUAGCAAUUUGCUGUGUGCCAUUUAAACUAAUAUGUCUUUGAAUUUUUUACUCUGAAAUACUUACAUGUUCUCUUUUACUACCUUUCUAGCCUUUAUUAUAUAAGUAAGACAGGAACAUAAGAAACGGUUUAAGCGUUUCUAUCACUGUCAAUGACGCCAGCAGGCAGCUCUGCAUGUUUCUGUUUUAUGAUCGAUGCGUACACGGAAACAAUUUCGACUUCCUAAUUAGAGUUGGAUUCAGCAGUGUGUCAUCGAUCUUGUCGACGUACCUGGUGCUGAAGUAACUGUGUUUGAUUUUGAUUAGUUUUAUAUAGGUUUUAUAUUCACAAUGUCUUGCAAUACAAGGAAUAAAUACUACAAGAAAGAUUCUAAUUUUAUAUUUCUAACUCUUCUAACUCAAAUUUACUUCUAUUUUGUAGCAGUAAUUUAACAGAUACCUUCACAUCGUGUUUUAUAUACAAAUAUUAUGCCUCUUAAAAGUUAUAUUAAAGUUGUAUCUAAUUUUCUUGACAAGUACAAUGUUAUACGUUUGAAAAGGUUGUCGGCAAAAUUUUAGGUAUGAAUUACAGACUGUAAGGCGUGUGAGACUAGUGGUAAGGAACAAGAACAAAGAUACGAAGCAGACAACAUAAAACUCUACAUGAAGUUAAGUAGCCCUCAUAUACAGAAUGUUUAUCUUUCAUGCUUAAGGGCAAAGCAGCUAUAGAAUAUAAUUGUAGAAUUGGUUUUAUGUUGAAAGGUAGGUUCUCCACAUGAUACGCUUUUAGUUCAACAAUUAAGCCAUCUUCAUUGAUAACAUAAACUCACACUUAUAAUGUUUACCUAUUGAUCAAAGAGUUACAAGGUUUUCUUCUCUUUCACAAUUCUGUAUAAUUAUCAGUGAAACUGUUCGAUAAAUUUAAUCUUAACUUCCGUUCAGGAAAAUCUACAAUUACUAUUCAUACAGCUUAGAAUCUAAUAAGAGUAAGCAUGUUAUACGCAAUAUGUUUCGCAGCCUAUCUUAUUGCUGCAGAAAACUCGAUUAAUUAUUUUGGAUUAUGUAUUUUUUGUGUGGUCGUAUUACAGUCAAUUACAAGACAGCAGUCUUAUAAGUUCUCACCAUCUACCUUUAUGCCAAGUUUAAAGUGAAAACUUUGAAUUGUUAUAAAGCAAUGCUUACGGGCACGAAAUAUGAAGGACGGACAGACGCACGCGUCAUAACAUAAUACGUCCGUUUUUCCAAAAAGAUCGUAUGAAAAUGGACAAAAUUGAGAUAUAAUGCUGCUUAAGGUAUUCUUUCGCUAAAAUAUUGAAAACUUAGUGCGUGUCUUAAGUCCCCAAUGCAAAGUUACACAUUUUAAGUGAAUAAAGCCCUCAAUGAAAACAAUUCAGCUGUCUUUAUUCUUGAGUAAUACCUGACAACUUUUAACUGAAAAUCUCGGUAUAAGACAGAAAAAUACUUUAUUGCCUUUAUGAAAUCGGCAGCUACAAGCAAGUAGAAUUCUGCCUAAAGAUGUGUCCAAAACGUACUUUAACGAAACCAUUACUUUUGUGAGCAAUAAUGUUUCAAAACAAAUCAUAAAAACAUUUUUCUGUCGAUCGUUUUGAAUAAAUUAUAUAUUUUCUCAUUUUCCCCAUUGAUAAUCAACAGUUCACUUUACAAUUUACUUGCACGUCUAAAUUAACAAGAAGAAACCCUUAUUUUCAUACCAAUUGCAAUACAUAUCAAAGGAAAAUGUGCCGAUUUUAAUUUUCAUAAAUAGUACUAUCACAAGUAGUUACAGAAAAAAUUGUGAAAUUCAGUUAACCUUUUUCAGAUCUUUUGUUUCUAAUUGGUUAAUGUUGGUUAAUAAUGAAAUAAGACUAUUCAAAUGUAUUUACUUUGAAUAUGCUGAUUACCUCGAUGUUUCUAGUAACAUGUUGUAAAGAGCUGUUAUCACUAAAUCUAUUAUUUGAGCACAAUGUUUAAGAAUUGAGACAUGACGUUAUGGACAGACGGGAAAAAUUGUGAAGUGAUUCAAUCAUGAUACAUAGAAAGAUGAAUUCCAGAUGAUUUGUUUAUGUCCAGGCUAGGAGUAAUGGGAAAACGAUAUAGUGAUCAAUACUUUCACAGUUGUUGUCAGGUUCAGAUCGAAACAAACUCAAUAAAUAGCAUGUUUCAUAAACUCUGCAUUGAAAGCGAAAUAAAGCGAAAUGUAUUUUAAGAAUCUUCACUUCGUAAUGCAAAUUUUAUAUCUUAAAAUUUAACUGAACCUGUAUAUGUUAGGUAUAAUAAGUAAUUUGAAAAGACUUCAUGUUUGUUGCCACACUUAUAUUUGACCUAUUCUUAUGUGCAUAUACUUUCUAUACUAUGUUAUAGAUUGUAUACAUACUAUUUUUGUACAGAAUACGUAUUAACAUUUUACCCUCUUUCUUUGUUUAAAAUGUGAAAGUAUUCUUUAAUAUAGAAUAUGUAUUGUUAACCUUGAAUUUGAUUGUACACAUGCUGUAUGGAAGAAGAGCAUAAUGCUCAAGUCUAAAAUAUUUUUUGUUCUGAUCUGUUCUGAAAUCAUCACUUAUCAGUGCCUGGAAUAAAAGUUUGAUUGAA
rnacentral:lncRNA from 1 species